rnacentral:rRNA from 1 species
GGGUUGUGAGGUUAAGCGACUAAGCGUACACGGUGGAUGCCCUGGCAGUCAGAGGCGAUGAAGGACGUGCUAAUCUGCGAUAAGCGUCGGUAAGGUGAUAUGAACCGUUAUAACCGGCGAUUUCCGAAUGGGGAAACCCAGUGUGAUUCGUCACACUAUCAUUAACUGAAUCCAUAGGUUAAUGAGGCGAACCGGGGGAACUGAAACAUCUAAGUACCCCGAGGAAAAGAAAUCAACCGAGAUUCCCCCAGUAGCGGCGAGCGAACGGGGAGGAGCCCAGAGCCUGAAUCAGUGUGUGUGUUAGUGGAAGCGUCUGGAAAGGCGCGCGAUACAGGGUGACAGCCCCGUACACAAAAAUGCACAUACUGUGAGCUCGAUGAGUAGGGCGGGACACGUGGUAUCCUGUCUGAAUAUGGGGGGACCAUCCUCCAAGGCUAAAUACUCCUGACUGACCGAUAGUGAACCAGUACCGUGAGGGAAAGGCGAAAAGAACCCCGGCGAGGGGAGUGAAAAAGAACCUGAAACCGUGUACGUACAAGCAGUGGGAGCCUCUUUUAUGGGGUGACUGCGUACCUUUUGUAUAAUGGGUCAGCGACUUAUAUUCUGUAGCAAGGUUAACCGAAUAGGGGAGCCGAAGGGAAACCGAGUCUUAACUGGGCGUUAAGUUGCAGGGUAUAGACCCGAAACCCGGUGAUCUAGCCAUGGGCAGGUUGAAGGUUGGGUAACACUAACUGGAGGACCGAACCGACUAAUGUUGAAAAAUUAGCGGAUGACUUGUGGCUGGGGGUGAAAGGCCAAUCAAACCGGGAGAUAGCUGGUUCUCCCCGAAAGCUAUUUAGGUAGCGCCUCGUGAAUUCAUCUCCGGGGGUAGAGCACUGUUUCGGCAAGGGGGUCAUCCCGACUUACCAACCCGAUGCAAACUGCGAAUACCGGAGAAUGUUAUCACGGGAGACACACGGCGGGUGCUAACGUCCGUCGUGAAGAGGGAAACAACCCAGACCGCCAGCUAAGGUCCCAAAGUCAUGGUUAAGUGGGAAACGAUGUGGGAAGGCCCAGACAGCCAGGAUGUUGGCUUAGAAGCAGCCAUCAUUUAAAGAAAGCGUAAUAGCUCACUGGUCGAGUCGGCCUGCGCGGAAGAUGUAACGGGGCUAAACCAUGCACCGAAGCUGCGGCAGCGACGCUUAUGCGUUGUUGGGUAGGGGAGCGUUCUGUAAGCCUGUGAAGGUGUGCUGUGAGGCAUGCUGGAGGUAUCAGAAGUGCGAAUGCUGACAUAAGUAACGAUAAAGCGGGUGAAAAGCCCGCUCGCCGGAAGACCAAGGGUUCCUGUCCAACGUUAAUCGGGGCAGGGUGAGUCGACCCCUAAGGCGAGGCCGAAAGGCGUAGUCGAUGGGAAACAGGUUAAUAUUCCUGUACUUGGUGUUACUGCGAAGGGGGGACGGAGAAGGCUAUGUUGGCCGGGCGACGGUUGUCCCGGUUUAAGCGUGUAGGCUGGUUUUCCAGGCAAAUCCGGAAAAUCAAGGCUGAGGCGUGAUGACGAGGCACUACGGUGCUGAAGCAACAAAUGCCCUGCUUCCAGGAAAAGCCUCUAAGCAUCAGGUAACAUCAAAUCGUACCCCAAACCGACACAGGUGGUCAGGUAGAGAAUACCAAGGCGCUUGAGAGAACUCGGGUGAAGGAACUAGGCAAAAUGGUGCCGUAACUUCGGGAGAAGGCACGCUGAUAUGUAGGUGAAGUCCCUCGCGGAUGGAGCUGAAAUCAGUCGAAGAUACCAGCUGGCUGCAACUGUUUAUUAAAAACACAGCACUGUGCAAACACGAAAGUGGACGUAUACGGUGUGACGCCUGCCCGGUGCCGGAAGGUUAAUUGAUGGGGUCAGCGCAAGCGAAGCUCUUGAUCGAAGCCCCGGUAAACGGCGGCCGUAACUAUAACGGUCCUAAGGUAGCGAAAUUCCUUGUCGGGUAAGUUCCGACCUGCACGAAUGGCGUAAUGAUGGCCAGGCUGUCUCCACCCGAGACUCAGUGAAAUUGAACUCGCUGUGAAGAUGCAGUGUACCCGCGGCAAGACGGAAAGACCCCGUGAACCUUUACUAUAGCUUGACACUGAACAUUGAGCCUUGAUGUGUAGGAUAGGUGGGAGGCUUAGAAGUGUGGACGCCAGUCUGCAUGGAGCCGACCUUGAAAUACCACCCUUUAAUGUUUGAUGUUCUAACGUUGACCCGUGAUCCGGGUUGCGGACAGUGUCUGGUGGGUAGUUUGACUGGGGCGGUCUCCUCCUAAAGAGUAACGGAGGAGCACGAAGGUUGGCUAAUCCUGGUCGGACAUCAGGAGGUUAGUGCAAUGGCAUAAGCCAGCUUGACUGCGAGCGUGACGGCGCGAGCAGGUGCGAAAGCAGGUCAUAGUGAUCCGGUGGUUCUGAAUGGAAGGGCCAUCGCUCAACGGAUAAAAGGUACUCCGGGGAUAACAGGCUGAUACCGCCCAAGAGUUCAUAUCGACGGCGGUGUUUGGCACCUCGAUGUCGGCUCAUCACAUCCUGGGGCUGAAGUAGGUCCCAAGGGUAUGGCUGUUCGCCAUUUAAAGUGGUACGCGAGCUGGGUUUAGAACGUCGUGAGACAGUUCGGUCCCUAUCUGCCGUGGGCGCUGGAGAACUGAGGGGGGCUGCUCCUAGUACGAGAGGACCGGAGUGGACGCAUCACUGGUGUUCGGGUUGUCAUGCCAAUGGCACUGCCCGGUAGCUAAAUGCGGAAGAGAUAAGUGCUGAAAGCAUCUAAGCACGAAACUUGCCCCGAGAUGAGUUCUCCCUGACCCUUUAAGGGUCCUGAAGGAACGUUGAAGACGACGACGUUGAUAGGCCGGGUGUGUAAGCGCAGCGAUGCGUUGAGCUAACCGGUACUAAUGAACCGUGAGGCUUAACCUUACAACGCCGAAG